UACGUAGGGGGCGAGCGUUGUCCGGAAUCAUUGGGCGUAAAGCGCGUGUAGGCGGCCCGGUAAGUCCGCUGUGAAAGUCCAGGGCUCAACCCUGGGAUGCCGGUGGAUACUGUCGGGCUCGAGUCCGGAAGAGGCGAGUGGAAUUCCUGGUGUAGCGGUGAAAUGCGCAGAUAUCAGGAGGAACACCAAUGGCGAAGGCAGCUCGCUGGGACGUGACUGACGCUGAGACGCGAAAGCGUGAGGAGCAAACAGG
rnacentral:rRNA from 1 species